AACGGUCUAUACCUGCGGUACCUGCGGAAGGAUCAUUAUCGAGUUAUCAACUCCCAAACCCCUGUGAACAUACCCGAACGUUGCCUCGGCGGGACCGCCCCGGCGCCCCUAGCGGCCCGGAACCAGGCGCCCGCCGGAGGACCCAAACUCUUGCUUUAAACAGUGGCAUACUCUCUGAGUCUCACAAACAAAAAAUAAAUCAAAACUUUUAACAAUGGAUCUCUAGAUCGGAAGAGCACA
rnacentral:misc_RNA from 1 species